UCAAACCAAAGCUGGCGACCGGCGCACGGGUGAGUAACACGUAUCCAACCUGCCUCAUACUCGGGGAUAGCCUUUCGAAAGAAAGAUUAAUAUCCGAUAGCAUAUAUUUCCCGCAUGGGUUUUAUAUUAAAGAAAUUCGGUAUGAGAUGGGGACGCGUUCCAUUAGUUUGUUGGGGGGGUAACGGCCCACCAAGACUACGAUGGAUAGGGGUUCUGAGAGGAAGGUCCCCCACAUUGGAACUGAGACACGGUCCAA
rnacentral:rRNA from 1 species